AAAACCACAUUCGAAAAUUACAUUAUCUUCCUCUUGUCAUCCUCAGUCGUUGUGGGCCACCAUGCUGUGAGCUGUGUGGAUGUAGCAGUAAGUGAACGAAGGCAAAUUUCCUCGGAUUGGUAAUGAACUGAGGUCCUCACUCUUCCAUCUUCCAGGCCGCUGUGCUCUCCUUGGAGCGGAGUGUGUGGACUGUGCAGCUCAUCGGAUGUGCCCACAAACACACUGGUGCCCACGGGCACACUUCCAAGUUGAACAGAGACUGUUCUCUGCGCAUGCACGUUCCUUGAGGCCACGGUGACAG
rnacentral:lncRNA from 1 species